rnacentral:sRNA from 1 species
AAGAGAAAAAUGAAGACAGGACAUUUUGAAAUAGUCACCAUGCUGCUGGCAACCAUGAUUCUCGUGGACAUUUUCCAGGUAAGAAAAACCGGAAGCUUGAAGACCAUGGUGAGAAAAAACAGAAGCUUGAAGACUAUGAUGUGAAAAUCCUUGAACCCACCCAAAUACCUGCUCCAGGUCCAGUUCCUGUUCCAGGUCCCAAAAGUCAUCCUUCUGCAUCCUCGGGCAAACUCCUGCUUCCACAGUUUGGGAUGGUCAUCAUUUUAAUCAGUGUUUCUGCUAUAAAUCUCUUUGUUGCUCUGUAGGUUGAUGCAUUAUC